CCAGGAUGAAGCAUUCCUCUGACAAAAGCAUAGCCAUAGAGAAAGGGUUUUCCUCUGCUACCACUGACAACUUCAUGGAUCCACUUGCAUCUGACACCAUAUAGAGUUUAGCACUCUUCCGAUUUGCAAUAUCAGCCAUCUCAUCGUCAUCAUCACUACAUUCAGGAAGCUCUGGCUUUUCCCCUAAGACCGUUAUAAGCUCGUCCGGUUCGCUGCCUUCUUCAACUGUAAUUAAUCUGGACCUCCCGUUUCGUUCAUUGUCCCGAAUGCCAACAGCAACUUGAGUGGCCUUCAGGCGUUCGUAUUUGUUGCAUGAAGAGCCACACCAUUGAUAGAUCUCAUUUCCAAGGUCAAUAAUGAAACAAUCUCCUUUGUUGAAGCUGGCCCAAGUCAAGGGGACUUCUGUGGCUCUCACAACUCUCCGGCCCUUGAUAUGGAGAAGCCUCUGGGCACUCAGAUCAUUAGUAACAACGUGAUUAAAUCCAGAGGCAACACCACCUGCCUUGUAUUUAAUUCCUCCUUUGAAAUAGCUCACAAACUCAUUAGAUUCAUAUCCUUGAAUUUCUCUGCUCUGUACAGGCUUUCCUCCUAAGUAGUCAUCCAGUUGAACAGUGAAGAUAGCUGCAGCUGUACUCUCAUCCUGGGUACAUUCUUUCCCGAGCCAGUAGUGCAGGCGGUAGGCGACGGCGGCUCCGCGGCGGACGGUGUGCAGCACCAGAUAGGCGUCGCCGACGAAGAAGUCCCCAUGGCGGCUGGGCGGUACCGGCACCAACUCCAGCCGCUCCACGCGCCACACCUGCAGCCCGCUCUCCUGCCCGGCGCCCUCAAAGGCCGGCGGGUGCCGCUCGGGAGCCAUAG
rnacentral:lncRNA from 1 species